rnacentral:rRNA from 1 species
AGUCGUAACAAGGUUUCCGUAGGUGAACCUGCGGAAGGAUCAUUACCUAGAGUUUGUAGACUUCGGUCUGCUACCUCUUACCCAUGUCUUUUGAGUACCUUCGUUUCCUCGGCGGGUCCGCCCGCCGAUUGGACAACAUUCAAACCCUUUGCAGUUGCAAUCAGCGUCUGAAAAAACAUAAUAGUUACAACUUUCAACAACGGAUCUCUUGGUUCUGGCAUCGAUGAAGAACGCAGCGAAAUGCGAUAAGUAGUGUGAAUUGCAGAAUUCAGUGAAUCAUCGAAUCUUUGAACGCACAUUGCGCCCCUUGGUAUUCCAUGGGGCAUGCCUGUUCGAGCGUCAUUUGUACCUUCAAGCUCUGCUUGGUGUUGGGUGUUUUGUCUCGCCUCUGCGUGUAGACUCGCCUUAAAACAAUUGGCAGCCGGCGUAUUGAUUUCGGAGCGCAGUACAUCUCGCGCUUUGCACUCAUAACGGCGACGUCCAAAAGUACAUUUUUACACUCUUGACCUCGGAUCAGGUAGGGAUACCCGCUGAACUUAAGCAUAUCAAUAAGUAAAAGUCG